ACAUCAGAGCACUGGCUUGUCAGA
rnacentral:piRNA from 1 species